rnacentral:rRNA from 1 species
GACGAACGCUGGCGGCGUGCCUAAUACAUGCAAGUCGAGCGGAUCUUCAUUAGCUUGCUUUUGAAGAUCAGCGGCGGACGGGUGAGUAACACGUGGGCAACCUGCCUGUAAGACUGGGAUAACUUCGGGAAACCGGAGCUAAUACCGGAUAAUCCUUUCCCUCACAUGAGGGAAAGCUGAAAGACGGUUUCGGCUGUCACUUACAGAUGGGCCCGCGGCGCAUUAGCUAGUUGGUGAGGUAACGGCUCACCAAGGCGACGAUGCGUAGCCGGCCUGAGAGGGUGAUCGGCCACACUGGGACUGAGACACGGCCCAGACUCCUACGGGAGGCAGCAGUAGGGAAUCUUCCGCAAUGGACGAAAGUCUGACGGAGCAACGCCGCGUGAGCGAUGAAGGCCUUCGGGUCGUAAAGCUCUGUUGUCAGGGAAGAACAAGUAUCGGAGUAACUGCCGGUACCUUGACGGUACCUGACCAGAAAGCCACGGCUAACUACGUGCCAGCCGCCGCGGUAACAC